UACGUAGGGUGCGAGCGUUAAUCGGAAUUACUGGGCGUAAAGCGUGCGCAGGCGGUUCGUUAAGACAGAUGUGAAAUCCCCGGGCUUAACCUGGGAACUGCAUUUGUGACUGGCGAGCUAGAGCAUGGCAGAGGGGGGUAGAAUUCCACGUGUAGCAGUGAAAUGCGUAGAGAUGUGGAGGAAUACCGAUGGCGAAGGCAGCCCCCUGGGCCAAUACUGACGCUCAUGCACGAAAGCGUGGGGAGCAAACAGG
rnacentral:rRNA from 1 species